AUGCUUCAUCGAAAAAACUAAAGAAGUGAGAAUUGACGAUGAGGGAGACCCAAUUAAUCAACCACUACUAACGUAAACCCAUUUGCGGUUAACGAACGUGUUAAGCGUGGAGUGGUCUGUCAUAUUGUAACGACACAACCUGUUAUUGUUAAACAAAAAAAAAAUCAAAGCAAGUGUGUGGCUGGCUAUUAUCAUCCAUCAUCAAGCCACCUUCAAUCUCAUAUCCAUAUGCUUCAUCGAAAAAACUAAAGAAGUGAGAAUGGACGACGAGCAGGAAGACCCAAUCAAUCAACCACUACCAAGACAAGAUCUGGUAAUCAUGAGGGGUUGAUAGAUACGUACGCUGUUCAGUGUGCAAGGUGCUUCAAAUGGAGGAAAAUUCAUACUCGGGAAGAUUUUGAGGAGAUUAGAAUGAGAGUAAAAGAAGAAGAGUUCGUGUGCGAGAAGAUUGAAGCUGUGUCAUGUCUUGAUGUUGGAGAGCUAGAAUAUGACUACUACAAUAUGGGUCAUGGACAAGCCUGGCGUGACAAAGACACCAACAGGGUUUGAAAGGGAGAUAGUUUUGAGGAAGGACAACUCGAGAGUGGAUGUGUACUACGUCACUCCGACAGGGAAGAGGAUGAGGACUCCUAAUGAACUUGCAGCCUUCAUCAAUGCAAAUCCGGAUUUCAAGGAUACUCCGCUUAAAGAUUUCACUUUCACAGCCCCAGUAGUAAUGGAAGAAACUGUACCGGGUGGUAAACGUAAGAGGAUCUCCAAGCCAUCCAAGGAACAUGAGUAAUUUGAGCUACCAAGCUUUUUCGAGUCUCCAAACUUGAUUAGCCUUUGGAUUUCUUAAUUUGAUAUGCUUUUUAAACCUCUCUCUGACUCUGGCUGGAUCUUUAUAUUUCUUGUGAAAGAUGACAUUUCUCCUCUUUUCAUUAUGUCAUACCUACAUGAA